UACGGAGGGUGCAAGCGUUAUCCGGAUUCACUGGGUUUAAAGGGUGCGUAGGUGGGUUUGUAAGUCAGUGGUGAAAUCUCCAAGCUUAACUUGGAACUGCCGUUGAUACUAUAAAUCUUGAAUGUUGUGGAGGUGAGCGGAAUAUGUCAUGUAGCGGUGAAAUGCUUAGAUAUGACAUAAAACACCAAUUGCGAAGGCAGCUCACUACACAAAGAUUGACACUGAGGCACGAAAGCGUGGGGAUCAAACAGG
rnacentral:rRNA from 1 species